rnacentral:rRNA from 1 species
UACGGGGGGGGCAAGCGUUGUUCGGAAUUACUGGGCGUAAAGGGCUCGUAGGCGGCCAACUAAGUCAGACGUGAAAUCCCUCGGCUUAACCGGGGAACUGCGUCUGAUACUGGAUGGCUUGAAUCCGGGAGAGGGAUGCGGAAUUCCAGGUGUAGCGGUGAAAUGCGUAGAUAUCUGGAGGAACACCGGUGGCGAAGGCGGGUCUCUGGGCAACAACUGACGCUGAGGAGCGAAAGCGUGGGGAGCGAACAGG